rnacentral:rRNA from 1 species
UACGAAGGGGGCUAGCGUUGUUCGGAAUUACUGGGCGUAAAGCGCACGUAGGCGGAUAUUUAAGUCAGGGGUGAAAUCCCGGGGCUCAACCCCGGAACUGCCUUUGAUACUGGGUAUCUUGAGUUCGGAAGAGGUAAGUGGAAUUGCGAGUGUAGAGGUGAAAUUCGUAGAUAUUCGCAGGAACACCAGUGGCGAAGGCGGCUUACUGGUCCGAUACUGACGCUGAGGUGCGAAAGCGUGGGGAGCAAAC